AGGAUGAACGCUAGCGACAGGCCUAACACAUGCAAGUCGAGGGGCAGCGCGGGAGAAGCUUGCUUUCCUGGCGGCGACCGGCGCACGGGUGCGUAACAGGUGUGCAAUCUGUCCAUAGUCGGGGGAUAGCCCAGCGAAAGCUGAAUUAACACUCCAUGUGAAUCGAAGCCGCAUGACUUUGAUUUGAAACGCAAGGACUAUAGGUGAGCACGCUUCUGAUUAGCUAGUUGGUGGGUAACGGCUCACCAAGGCGACGAUCAGUAGGGGUUCUGAGAGGAAGGUCCCCCACAUUGGAACUGAGACACGGUCCAAACUCCUACGGGAGGCAGCAGUGAGGAAUAUUGGUCAAUGGGCGAGAGCCUGAACCAGCCAAGUCGCGUGAAAAGGAUGAAGGUUCUAUGGAUUGUAAACUUCUUUUGUCCGAGGGUAAAGGAGUCCACGUGUGGAUUUUUGCAAGUAUCGGACGAAUAAGCAUCGGCUAACUCCGUGCCAGCCGCUGC
rnacentral:rRNA from 1 species